UUUAGAAAUUGACAUAAAACUAGAUUAGUAUUAGUUAUAUACUUAAAAAUUAAAAAAUUUGGCGGUGAUUUAAUCUUUUCAGAGGAAUUUGUUUUUUAAUCGAUACACCACGAAAAAUCUUACUUAUUUUUGUUUAAAUAUAAUUUCAGUUUGUAUACCAUCAUUCUCAGAUAAUUCUAAAAGGAAAAAUUAUUAAAAAUAAAAUAAUUAUUUAAAUUAGAUCAAGGUGCAGCUAAUAAAUAAGGUAAAAUGAAUUACAAUAAAUUAUUUUAUAAUGGAUUAAUAAAAUAAUUUUUAUUAUAAAGGAGGAUUUGAUAGUAUUAUAAUUUUAAUAAGUUUAUAAGAUAAUAGCUCUAAAUCAUGUACAUAUCGCCCGUCGCUUUCAUUUAUAAAUGAAAUAAGUAACAUA
rnacentral:rRNA from 1 species